rnacentral:rRNA from 1 species
UACGUAGGGGCGAGCGUUGUCCGGAAUGACUGGGCGUAAAGGGCGCGUAGGCGGCCGUACAAGUCUUGCGUGAAAGUCCCGCUUUCAAGGUGGGAAUUGCGAGGGAAACUGUAUGGCUUGAGUGCGGAAGAGGUAAGUGGAAUUCCCAGUGUAGCGGUGAAAUGCGUAGAGAUUGGGAGGAACACCAGUGGCGAAGGCGACUUUCUGGCCAGUUACUGACGCUCAUGCGCGAGAGCUGGGUUAGCGAACCGGAUUAGAUACCCGCGUAGUCCCU